UACGUAGGGUGCGAGCGUUAAUCGGAAUUACUGGGCGUAAAGCGUGCGCAGGCGGUUCGUGAUGUCUGGUGUGAAAGCCCCGGGCUUAACCCGUGGGAAUUGACAUUGGAAACUAGCGGGCUGGAGUGUGGCAGAGGGGGGUGGAAUUCCACGUGUAGCAGUGAAAUGCGUAGAGAUGUGGAGGAACACCGAUGGCGAAGGCAGCCCCCUGGGCUAACACUGACGCUCAUGCACGAAAGCGUGGGGAGCGA
rnacentral:rRNA from 1 species